GUGGGGAGGAAGACUUCCUCGAUCCUUGGAGAACAUGGAGGCCUGAUCCAGUUGACUGAAGAACAGCUUUUACUGUCAGGGGAAAGCAGGACAAGUGAGGUGAGAAGAGACAAGAAACACCCAGUCAGGUUCUGAGCAUGGAUGAGCUGCAGCAGGGCAGAGUGGGAGGGACUGUGGGUCUGUCACAGGCUGUCUCCUGAGCCUGCUUGCACUUCAGGAGACCCCUGGCAUCUGACCUGGUGGUCCUCAGGAGAUAGUGAGGAUCCUGAAGCAGAGCUUGAGUAGUCCAGGUCUCCAUUGUCUUGAAAUGAGGACAAGCUUUGUUGUAAGUCUGCAAGUGCCUCCAGCUGCUGCUUCAUCUGCCUCUGCCUUC